rnacentral:rRNA from 1 species
UACGUAGGGUGCGAGCGUUGUCCGGAAUUAUUGGGCGUAAAGGGCUCGUAGGCGGCCACCGCAAGUCGGUUGUGAAAUCUCUGGGCUUAACCCAGAAAGGUCAACCGAUACUGCGGGGCUAGAGUGCAGAAGGGGCAACUGGAAUUCUCGGUGUAGCGGUGAAAUGCGUAGAUAUCGAGAGGAACACCUGCGGCGAAGGCGGGUUGCUGGGCUGACACUGACGCUGAAGCGCGAAAGCUAGGGGAGCGAACGGG